rnacentral:snRNA from 1 species
GUGCUCGCUUCAGCAGUACAUAUACUAAAAUUGGAAUGAUACAGAGAAGAUUAGCAUGGCCCCUGUGCAAGGAUGUCAUGUAAAUUCGUGAAGCAUUCCAUAUUUUU